UAGCUCCAAUUAGCACCUCUUGGGUGGGAUAAUUUUUUGGAUCAGUUAGAUGCAACUAGCUUCCAUCUAACCCUUAAGUUUGAAUACUUUAAGGCUAGUUGAACCCAAACUAGCUCAAACUAACUUUAGCUCAUGGAUCCAAACAGCGCCCGAGUCCAUCUCAAAUCCGGGAUGGUACUCGCCCCGUCCUGAGCCGGUCUUUAGCUACAGCCACCGCUCUGACGACCGACUCCUCUCACUUGGUCGCGCGUCAGUCGCCGCUCCUGCAGACGACGGUUCCCACUGCGCUACACGCCGCCUCCACACCCGUCGCGGCGGCUUUGCAACGCCUCCACACCCGCCGAGCUACAUGGCCUAGUCGUCCAUGCACCACAUCAAUCCACCACGGAGGAACCAGCCAAAGAUCCAUCACGCAUCAGGAGGAGAAACAGAUCCAUCAGCCAGUCUACCAAACGCGGCCCCGUCAAGCCGGCGACAUAAUGGAGCGCAGUGUUCUUGUUCUUGUUGACACCCGUGCUAGCCUCCAGCAGUGCCUGCGCGCACUUCGGCUUGCCAUAGCCGCACGCGAAGUGCACGUCCAGCCCAAUCCCGAUGCGAAAAUGGUUUUCUGGAGAGACAACGUUACUCGGAAGUAAAUAUUAAAAAAGGAGGAGGACAAGCCACGAUCUAGAAACAGAUUGAUCACAGAUUCAGCGUCAUGGCCUAGCUCGCCUCGCUCCGAGCCGGUCUCGCUCCAGUGCCGAGGGUCCGAACCGGGCUCUCCCUACCGCACCUCCUUCCACCACCUCGCUUCACGCGCCCAGUCGCUCCAUCACUGAGUCACCGUCGCUCCGCUCCGCCUUCGCCUCCACACGCCACUGAGCGAGAUGCACAGCUACCGCGCAUGCAAACUGCAUCCCUGCUACGCCGUUGCGCCUGGGCGUCACCCCGCGGUCAGCGCUCCUCACCCCACGGCCGGGUUAGGCUACUCCUGCGCUCAGCCUGCGGAUCCUCUUUGCUUCAGAUCUACCACUCCGGCCGCACUCGCGCGAACUCGCGUCAGCACCGGCUCUGCCCAGCGCACCCGGGUUUCCAUGCUUCUCGCUCCGCCUGCCUCCCUUCGCUGCAGCAUGUCGCGCACGCACGCUCAUCCCUCACACUUCGUCCACCGCUCCGGUCGGGCCCAGUGCUGGCUGCAAAGGUCCCCGCGCCCGUGUAAGUCGCCUCGCCUCCAUCCCGGCUUACCACACCUCACCCUGUUCGCUGAUCCGGCCCACUGCCGCCGCAAUGCGCCGCUGUGCCCUGAGUCGCCGCUUCUCCAUCUCCCAUCGCCGCGUGACGAGUCGCCUAACUUAGCCUUGCCUUGAGCCGUUGUGCCCUGAGUUGCCGCUUCUCCAUCCUCCGUUGCCGCGCGACGAGUCGCCUAGCUUAACCUUGCCUUGAGCCGUUGUGUCCUGAGUCGCCGGGUCGCCAUCCCAUGUCCCCGCACCUGGAGCCGCUGUGCAUUGAGUCGCCGCACGAGGAGUUGCCUGGCGCAUCCACCUCACGAUGACAAAGUGCUCACUACAAAGGUGAUCGAGCACCGCGGCAACUCAUGCAUCCGCACUGAUUUUCAAUGCCGCAAUCGAAUCUCUCGUCUACAUCAACACUUCGGUGCUCGAGCCUCCGCCCCCGCGGUUGGUUUACAUCAUUCCACCGGUGUCACACCUGCUCAUCUGAAUUGCACAACGGACGUGCUUGAGCCAUCGCCCCCGCUGCUUGGUUUACAUAAAAUAUGUCAGAAGAUUUUCUCACCCUCAUUCGUAAAAACGCAUCAGGUGCUAUUCAUCUUAUCUCAUUUUUAGUACAUGUUAUUUGUUCAAAGAACAAUUAUUAUGGCCUGCAAUAUUUUUACACGGGGGAUUCCUCAUUACAAAAAGUGAAAUUAUAUCCCGGAGAUGGAGUGUACACCAA